rnacentral:rRNA from 1 species
CGGGCGACCGGCGGACGGGUGCGUAACGCGUAUGUAACCUACCUUUGACAGGGGGAUAACAUCGAGAAAUUGGUACUAAUACCCCAUAACAUCACCGGAGGCAUCUUCGGUGGUUGAAAACUCAGGUGGUCAGAGAUGGACAUGCGUUGUAUUAGCUAGCUGGUGAGGUAACGGCUCACCAAGGCGACGAUACAUAGGGGGACUGAGAGGUCAACCCCCCACAUUGGUACUGAGACACGGACCAAACUCCUACGGAAGGCAGCAG